CCCACCUUUCCUGCUCACCGUCUUCACUACCAUAACCACACCUCCACAGCAGCCCUCCUCUUGUGUGUAGCGGCGGCGCAUCGUAAAAGCGUCUGCGAGAGACGAAUAGAGCUUCGGUAAGACGACACUCGUCCGCGUGCGCAGCAACACACACGCACGCACGCAUACUCAUCACCAGGCAUGUCAUUCCGCUACACGAACCAUCUCGUGGCAACCCUGAAGCACCGCCUCUUCCUCGAAGCGGCGCAUCGGCAGCUGGUUCGCCAAACCUUCACCGGCGUCUGCAAUGGUAUUGAGGUAACCUGCACCGCGUACGGCUCCGUGGUGGGGCUACGGAUGCUUGAUCGCGCGGUCUGGGAGCCGCACUACCAGGUCGCGGCAGACAACGAGUCCGAGGCAGCAGCAGCAGCAGCAGCAACACCAACAGCACCAGCCGCCGUCUCUCCAUCGCGCCCCUCGUCAUCGUCGUCCUCCUCCUCCACCGCGAGCGGUAAGACGGGGAUCGACCUGGUAAAGCUGUCCGCCAGCAUCCAGGCUGCCACGUGGCAAGCGAUACAGAAAGUGCGAGCCGCGAAGGAGGAAGCACACAGCCGCUCGCUUCGCCGCAACCCACAGCUGCUCGCGGAGGCGAGGCUGCGCGACUGGUAUGAGCAAGACGCCAACACGCUGCACCCGCGGCCCUUUGAUGGCCUGAAGAACCUCGAGGCAACGGAGUGGAUGCAGGCAGUGCGCUUCGGCGUGCCGCAGCCGGCGCGCUACCGGCGCCCCGAUGCGGCACUCAAAGACGCGGGGGAAGGUGGCGAUGGCGCGCACACGAACCAGAAGCCCCGCAAGACGAUCACGGUGCUACGGGACGAGGACUGCGACCCCGCCAACAUCCCGAUCGGCUCCGUCCAUCCGCUCUUCGCACCCGGUCUGCUGCAGCUCGAGGUGGACCCUAAGGUUGCAACGAACGGCGGCAGCCGCGUUGAUGAGUUGUUUGUGCUGAGCGAGCAGCGGAAGGAGAUGCGCCGUGACGAGGAGGCCUUCUGGGAGCGUGUCGAGCUCAUCCGCCGCAGCCAACUUGCCACGAUCCCGAAAGGUGCCGUGAAGCGUGGCUACGCAGACAUGGCUGAUACGGUGCAGGACAGCAUCGAAGAGAAGGUGCAGUUGCGCUUUACACAGUGAGAAAAGGCGUGGUCGGUGAGCUUUUCGGUGCGCUCCGUCAGCCAGUGAUGUCGAUGCCUCUGUGCAUAUAUAUAUAUAUAUGUGUGUGUGUGUGCGCGCCCGCGUACGUGAGGAGGACUAAAGGGUGUCAACGUGUCUCUGUGUGUGUUGCGGAGAGCAGGAUAUCGCAUGAGAAAUGAAGUCCGUCCGUGGCUCGUAAAGGACACCAAGGGAGGCUCUCUUCACGCCGCUUCCCCCACCCCCAUUCCCGUCGUGAAAUCCCCUGCGCUGCGGCGGUGUUUUCUGGAUUCUCGUCCGCAUCUUUCGAACAUCCUCUCUCUCCUGAACAACCGACAUCAUUACACCCGCCCGCCCCCCCCGCACACACACACACACACACAUACACGCGUCGCCGACAUCGCGAGGCGGCUUCGUCAG
rnacentral:misc_RNA from 1 species